rnacentral:rRNA from 1 species
CCUACGGGGGGCAGCAGUGAGGAAUAUUGGUCAAUGGGCGGAAGCCUGAACCAGCCAAGUAGCGUGCAGGAUGACGGCCCUACGGGUUGUAAACUGCUUUUAUACGGGAAUAACGCGCCUUACGUGUAGGGCUUUGCAUGUACCGUAUGAAUAAGGACCGGCUAAUUCCGUGCCAGCAGCCGCGGUAAGACGGAAGGUCCGGGCGUUAUCCGGAUUUAUUGGGUGUAAGGGGAGCGUAGGCCGCAUGUCAAGCGUGCUGUGAAAUGUCCGGGCUCAACCCGGGCAUUGCAGCGCGAACGGGUGUGCUUGAGGCGGCGGAAAGCAGGCGGAAUUCGUCGUGUAGCGGUGAAAUGCUUAGAUAUGACGAAGAACCCCGAUUGCGAAGGCAGCUUGCUGCAGCGGAACUGACGCUGAUGCUCGAAAGCGCGGGUAUCGAACAGGAUUAGAUACCCCAGUAGUC